rnacentral:rRNA from 1 species
AGUGAACGCUGGCGGUAGGCCUAACACAUGCAAGUCGAACGGCAGCACAGUAAGAGCUUGCUCUUACGGGUGGCGAGUGGCGUACGGGUGAGGAAUACAUCGGAAUCUACUUUUUCGUGGGGGAUAACGUAGGGAAACUUACGCUAAUACCGCAUACGACCUACGGGUGAAAGCAGGGGAUCUUCGGACCUUGCGCGAUUGAAUUAGCCGAUGUCGGAUUUGCUAGUUGGGGGGGUAAAGGCCCACCAAGGCGACGAUCCGUAGCUGGUCUGAGAGGAUGAUAACCCACACUGGAACGGGAACAGGGACCUGGGGCCUAAGGGAGGCAGCAGUGGGGAAUAUUGGACAAUGGGGGGAAGCCUGAUCCAGCCAGACCGCGUGGGAGAAGAAGGCCUUCGGGUUGUAAAGCCCUUUUGUUGGGAAAGAAAAGCAGCAGGUUAAUACCACGCUGUUCUGACGGUACCCAAAGAAUAAGCACCGGCUAACUUCGUG